GCAAACCUUGCACUUGCUAAGAGAAGCUAAUGCCGAGAGAACAAAAGCUGCAGAUGGUUGGUGAGCAAAUGUAAGGCUCUUCUUGGCAGACUGGGGAUAUCAGAGGCCCACACACACAGGUUGUAAAGAGAAAAGCAACUUGUAUUCUUUAAGAUUUUCAACAGAAAAAGCUUCAGUGAUGGUGGAAGCUGCAGAAAUAAUGUUGGGAAUGCAUUAUUGGAUGCAAAUUUUGGAGAAAUGUUAGGAGGUCGGUCAUCUACCUAUCUAUCCACUUUAUGAAGAAUAUUGUGCCUUCUACGCUUUGGACUUGUGGUGACUUAUCCAAGAUCACCAGAAAAGGUAGAAGAAAGAUGAUCCUUGACACCUACUCAGCUCAUAAGGUGUUAUUAAAGUAAAGUUAACGUGGUAUGAAAGAGAAUUUUUGGUAUCUUAAAAACAGAUUGUAUCUAACUAAAAGUCUCUAUUACUGUUAGGUCAUUGCUGUUGACUU